CUAUAAGCCGGAAAUAUUACUGUUAAAAUCAAGCUGUUGAUCAUUCUGUUAAAUCUGCUUCAUUCUCCUUCCAUCUGCGUAUAAGUGUUGUGGCAAAUCGAACAUUAUUCUAGUUUGAAAAUAUCUAGACCGGAUUGAAACUAGAAUCUCAAAUUUAUUGAAUAUUAUAGUUUAUUCUGUGUAUAGAAAAGGACAAUUAUGACGCAACCUUUUAUGUGCCAUCAAUGUGCCGAUGAUGGAUGCAAUGUACCGGAAAGUGAAAUGGAAGUUUGCCAAACGGUAAUGAAUUGCUUCAAAGAUAGCAUUGGAAAAUUCAUGAGCCACGUGCUAUAUACUCGUGGAUGCAUCAACACGACGCUACAAUUCCAUGAUGUUUGUAGUGGUAUAAAAGAUUACGCCAAUUAUAAUUCUGAAUGUUGUGUAGGAAAUUUUUGCAAUAAUGGCGAUUUUCCUAGUCUACGUCCUAGCCUACAUGAAUUGCCUACAUUAUCUGAACCUCACGUCGAAGGUUUUUGGUAUACUACUACCGGCCAAUGGGUAUUAGUAUUGUUGGCGUAUUUAGCAUUAGGUUUACCCUUCUGUUCACUUUUUCUUUACGGAUUUUGCCAUGUAUUUGUGUGGGGGGAGAUACGCAUCAGAUAUGCACGUUGGAGAAUUAACCGACACAGACGAGCGUAUGAGGCAGAAGAAGCGGUUCCGCAAGUGGUAACGAUGCGAGAAGUAGAACAGCAUGUAUGAAUAGCAACACCAAGCCCACUUUAUUAGAGGAGCUAACGUUGAAGUCUUGAAAUUACUCCUAUCAACGAUAGACUAGCCCAGCUAAUUACACAAAGCACCACGUCCUUCAUUAACGCAACGCCCCAACGAUUAAAGUUUGGCGAACUGUUCGGGAUCAGGUAAUCUCGAAUUGAAGCAAGGUGCCUCAAAGCAUGUAUCAUUCAUUAUUGGUUAAUUGUAUUAAUUCAGUGAAUCGAUUAUAUGCUUUCAGCUUUCAUAAUAAAAAUUCGAAUGUAGAUAAGUCGAGAGGAGAUGCGCGAAUUAAUUGCCGUUGAUCGAAAGUCUGAAAUUUCUGAUCAUUGGCAUACGUUUCUGAUAUGUUUGAGAUUGUCUUUUGAAAAAGACAAUCUUAUUAUACUAUUCAAAUUUUGAAUUUGGAUAAUAAUGUUAAACUUUUCAGAUAAUGAAUGUGUUGGGAUUUAUGAUUCAAGACUGCUGGAACACGAACUCACCAGCGCGUUAGCCGAUUCGACAAGUUAAUAAGACGCUUUUUUUUAUUUGAAACGAUUUUUCGAAGACAUAUUCCUUUUAUUUUUAAUAUUUUUCAAUAUGCUGUUACCUUAUAAUAUAGCAAUAUUUUGAAUUUUUGAAAGCUUGAAAAUUAACUAUCAUUGUCACUUAAAUAGCGAAGAAUAUUCUAUAAUAGUGUGAAAAAAAAUUAAUUUUUAUCGAUAAAUAUCCAAAUCUAAUUCAUAGAUUUAUUCAAAAUCUAGUUAAUUAUACAUUGUGACUUGGGUAAAUCUUUUCGUUAAGUGAUCCAUUUUGUAACUUGUUUUAAUAAGAAUACUUAUAAUUGUUAGUAAAUUUCAAAUUCAAAUGAAUAUUUACUCAUCAAGACUCAAACUAAUAAUAAUUAACUAAUCCAAUAAAUAAUCAAUUUUUGU